rnacentral:rRNA from 1 species
GACGAACGCUGGCGGCGUGCUUAACACAUGCAAGUCGAACGAAGUGGCGCACGGGUGAGUAACGCGUAAUCACCCUGCCCUUCAGAUGGGGACAACAGUUGGAAACGACUGCUACUACCGCAUACUGAAGGAGGUGCUUGCGUCUGAUUAGCUAGGUGGAGGGGUAACGGCCCACCAAGGCGAGGAUCAGUAGCCUGUCGGAGAGGAUGAACGGCCAAAGUGGGACUGAGACACGGCCCAGACUCCUACGGGAGGCAGCAGUGGGGAAUCUUCCGCAAUGGACGAAAGUCUGACGGAGCAACGCCGCGGGAGUGAUGACGGCCUUCGGGUUGUAAAGCUCUGUUAAUCGGGACGCGGUACCGGAAUAGAAAGCCACGGCUAACUACGUGCCAGCAGCCGCGGUAAUUC